CCCGCAGCCCAGCCCAGCCCGGCCCAGCCCCGCGCUGCCCGGCCCGGCCCGGCCUGGCUCGGCUCGGCUCAGCUCGGCACAGCCCGACCUGUCUCGCUCCUGGCCGCCCUGCCCCGGCCGUGCCCGCACCUUGGAGCGGACGGACGGAAGGACGGACGGACGGAUGGCCGGCAUCCCCGACGGAGGGAUGUUUCUGUCUUUGGUUAUCUAGCUGUAUGAGUGUUGUGGAGCCAUCAUAAAGCUAGAUAACCGAAAGUAGAAAUGACUUCCAGACCUGCUCGCCCAGGGGAAGCGGCCGCACCAGGACCGGCAGUGCAGAGACGGCCCGACUCGCCGCCCUGGGGGCUCCAGGGCCAGCAAAGCAUCGCCAUAACCACAGUAAGGAAAAAGGAUCUCAGCCUGAAUUUGGCUAUACCGGGAGAAAGAAAAGUUCUGAGGAGCUGUUAUUAUAUAUUCUAAUGAGAAGUCAUUGGAGAAAUUAAAAAGGGCAGAGAAAGACGAAGACGCCAGCACUUAUUCCACAGGAAGCCUCCCAGGGAAAAGGCUGUGUGAGUGUGAACGCUGAAAAGCAUGAAGGCCUGGAAUUAGACUAUCAUUUAGAAAGCGUUACUAAUCCGAAGUUACAGCAGUAAUUCCAUGAUUUGCUGGGUCCCACACGCAGCGCCAGAAUUAAAGAUACGGAUUUUCUAGAAAUGUAACUCAACUGUGGCACCGAGUCUCGGCAAGAUCCGAAUGAAUCAUUCAUUCCAAAGGCAGCGAAAGACGUGUCAUUAAGAACCAACCUCCUUCUCUCCAGCCCAUCUGGAAUAUGUAUACUCGAUGCAAUCCCAGAAAUUGUGGAAGAGAUCGGAGGUGGGGAGGAAGGAAUGUAGUCCUUUCCCUCCUUUAUUAUGUUGGCUAUUUUUAAGAAAUAAUUUUCCAAUUAUUUUCACAA